UAAUAAUAGGUGCAGGAAUGGUUGUGUUGUUAUGGAGUUUGCUUCCCAACUAUGUGGUUUUGGGCUCAAUUCCAUUAUAUAGUACCUUCGGUAAAUGUCAUCUGUUAUAGCCCUAGGCCAAUUAAAGCCUUGUGAGUGGAUAUGGUAGACGGAAACUGAGAGAAGCACAUUGUAUGUAUGUAAUCGUGUCUUGUCUUGACAUCGUGCAACAGUUGUAAACGAGUGUCAUCAUAACACAAGUGGUGUCCUUCAUUUCUAAUCUUUCUCGAAAAAGACCAGGACGAUAUAAUACCCUGCCUAGAAACAAGUGAGAGCUGGCGACAUGAAAGAUAUACGACCAUAGAAAAUCUUCCCCCAACUAAGACCAUGCAAACAUGGAGAAACGGGCGUAAAAAUCAUAACACUUUACAUGCACAGCUGCUAAAAACAACACAGUAAGGGUUGGGAUAAAGCAUGUCUUAGUUGAGUUAUUAAGGUUCAACUGAAGCCAAUGUCUUUAGCUUUGUUUUUGUUUAGCUCUAGAUCGGCUUUGAUGAAAAGCGUCUCAGUUAUGACCAUCCCGCUUAAUCAGGAUGUAUUAUAGGACUAUAUCAUUUAGUAUGUCGUUCUUUUACAAGACGAUAGGUUUCGAUUUAAGGAAACUGUCUGUUAUUUCUAGAAAGUCGAGUGACUCAGUAGAGGCUUCCACGUUGUGUUUUUUUUUAAGGCAUAGUUAUGAAGAUGGGACAGAAUACAUGAUCUUCGCUGGGACCCAGAGACGGGUGAAAGUUAAUACGAUUUUUUGAAACCGUUGAAUGAAUCGUAAACAGAAAAUAGAAAUAAUAUUUGUGAAGCGUUACAUUGAGCCGAGGAAGAUGACCGGAUUGUAAUGCUACGGAUGAAAUAUAGAAAAUAAAAAUGAACUGUAUGUAUGUAUGGAUGGAGAGAGAGAGUAUAUUAUACUUGGGAUUCUAUCAAAGAACGACGAAGACGCAAUAAUUGCUUGAAAAGGCCGUUGAGUGAAAGCUACUUAACAAAUUAUAUAAUUUGUUAUUGUGUCGUUGAAUAAAAGAAUAAUUGCUCUGCUGGAAAUAAGACCCAAUUUCGAUUAAGAGUAAAACAUUGAUUAACCAUU